GCAAGUCGAGCGGUAACAGGGGGAGCUUGCUCCCUGCCGGCGAGUGGCGGACGGGUGAGUAAUGUGUAGGAAUCUACCUAUAGGUUUGGGAUAACUUGGGGAAACUCAAGCUAAUACCAGAUAGUCCUUACGAGGUAAAGCAGGGGAUCUUCGGACCUUGCGCCUGUGGAUGAGCCUACAUCAGAUUAGCUAGUUGGUGGGGUAAAAGCCUACCAAGGCGACGAUCUGUAGCUGGUCUGAGAGGAUGAUC
rnacentral:rRNA from 1 species